UACGUAGGGUGCGAGCGUUGUCCGGAAUUAUUGGGCGUAAAGAGCUCGUAGGCGGUCUGUUACGUCUGCUGUGAAAACCCGGGGCUUAACCCUGGGCUUGCAGUGGAUACGGGUAGACUAGAGGCAGGUAGGGGAGAAUGGAAUUCCCGGUGUAGCGGUGAAAUGCGUAGAUAUCUGGAGGAACACCGGUGGCGAAGGCGGCAUCCUGGACCGGUAUUGACGCUGAGGAGCGAAAGCUAGGGGAGCAAACGGG
rnacentral:rRNA from 1 species